UCGCGGGAUGGAGCAGUUAGGCAGCUCGUCGGGCUCAUAACCCGAAGGUCGUAGGUUCAAAUCCUGCUCCCGCAAU
rnacentral:tRNA from 1 species